rnacentral:rRNA from 1 species
UACAGAGGGUGCGAGCGUUAAUCGGAAUUACUGGGCGUAAAGCGUGCGUAGACGGUUAUUUAAGUCGGGUGUGAAAGCCCCGGGCUCACCUGGGAAUUGCAUUCGAGACUGAAUAGCUAGGUACGGUAGAGGGAAGUGGAAUUCCGGUGUAGCGGUGAAAUGCGUAGAUAUCGGAAGGAACAUCAGUGGCGAAAGCGGCUCACUGGACCAUUACUGACGCUG